CACUCAUCUACGCACACACGCAAGGGCGCAUAAACAAAAAUAUCAGCUCCCCAGAGGCGCGGCCCUUCCGACGCCCUGCUGUCACGUGCGUGUGUGUACAUCUGUGAGAUCGAGGCGUCACAUCUCUGUGAGUCUCUCACCCCCCCCACCACCACCACCGAAGAGAGAAGGCAUCUGCUGCAUGCUCAUCCGUGCAUGCCGCCGGCCGUUAUCAGUCGUCUAGUACCACAAGAUGCCUGCCGUACCACCGCCACUUAGCUGGAAAGCGCGGCUGCACAACUUCUACGCUUCGAACAAGCGGGACGUCUUCUUUGGCUUUGUUGCCUUCUUCGCCCUCGCGACGGUCGCGCGGGCGGAGAUGAUGCGCAAGGGGGUGCUGGAGCGCCCGCCGCCGCAGGAAGUGCACCCUAAGGUGUCGCGUGAGUUUGGCAAGAGCAAGCAUAAGUCCGGAGAGUAGAGUUUCACAAGAAUGAUACGCGCGCGCCGUAUUUGCAGUGCCGCAAGCCCGCUUGCGACUCUGUGUACGUGUGCGCGUACUGCUUCUCGCACCCACCGCCCACCGCGCCUUCUCUGCUUUCUCUCGGUCGAUGCCGAACAGGAGAGGGGGGGGGGACAAACGCACUUGAUGGCGGUAAAAGACGAGAAAGGGGCAUCGUCCUUCUCACAGGCGUUGGCGCUUCGAGUCACCGCUGCGAUGUGGCACACAGACAGACGCCGCGGUCGCAAGUCACUGGAACACUUCAUCCUUGCUGUUAAAAUUCAUCAUCACUCGCCUCCCCAAAGGCAAGCCUACACAUACACACACCCACACGCAUCAGAGAGCAUCGACCAGUGCUCACGCGAGCAGCAAGAAAAGAGCUGCCCUCAUUCGUAGGGGUGUUCAUGCAGCGUCGCUGAAUCCCAGUGCACACUCCCCUGCCCAGGCUACUUGGUCACCGUCCAUGUUUGCGGUGGUACGCGAGCGCUGGCCCUUGCCCUCCUCUAUUGUUCACGUCGAUGCCGCAGCAAGCGCAAGGCGUGCUAGCGCCACCUGUGCACCGCUCCCCCUUACUUACCCGCCACCCUUCCACCCUUUCCCAUUCGCCCAUCAUGCCUUACUGGACAAAAAAAAUGGCCCACCGUCAUCGCUCUCCCCCUCGCGUUCCUUGUGCACGCCUCCGUCUUGAGCGUGCUCCCGCUCGCGCACCCCAG
rnacentral:misc_RNA from 1 species